rnacentral:misc_RNA from 1 species
AGAAACCAUACCCUGGAAAACCAGCCAUUCCCUGUUCAACCAUUGUCAAAUUCUAGUUCUCUAGAAGCCAGAGUUUCUCCCUCUCGGCCCCCCAAGUUCUUCAUCAGACGGGGAAGAAGACGAUCCCCAUGGCUUUCAACCAAACCAACAAUCGUCUUUGAAGACCGAACCGAGCUUCUUCACCUCAGACCAUGGAGCUUCAGGUGUCUGAACCCGCCUCGGAUUUCGUCGAUAAUAGUAAGAGGAAGAAUUUGGAGGGCCCAACUGGUGAUCGGCUUCGUGUGAAGAAGAAGACCUUGCAGGCUGUGCUGGAGCAGUGUCAGAGAGCUCUUGAAUCGCUGAAUGAUUCCGAUGGUCUAGAUGAAAACGAGGGGAAUGAUGUGGAUGACGAUGACGAUGAUCGGGGAGGUGAUGGUUCAGGGUCUGUGCGCGGUGACCGGGAAGCCGACGAGUUGUGUGAUCUUCUUAAAUCUAAAGUUGAAUGCCGUGACUUUCUUGAAAAGCUAGAGGAUGCUCAAGCAUCAGUUCCACAAAAUACAAUUGAAGAAUGUAGUUCUUGGGAUUUGGUCAGUGAUGUGGAUCUAUGGGAAAGUGGUGAUGCUCUAGAUCAAGAAGGUUAUGUCGUUGUGAAGCAAGAGGAUAUAGUUGAUGGUAUUGCUUGUUUCAUGGCUGCAUACUUAUUGUCCUUAAA